CUCUGGGAUGAAUGCGGAAACCAAGCAGUGGGAUGAAGGCUCAGAAGAGAGGCUGACUUGACGGAGGAGGACGGAUGAGAGUGUUGGCCCAGCUCUGUAUAAACAGCGUCUCCCCAGGCCCGCCCCUCCUGAACUGGAAGUCUUCAAAUCCGGACACGGUGAACUUCCAAGAGAGAACGCACUACAGAAUAACUUCUCAGUUUAGCUGAUGGGUCAGUUCUCUCUCUACGUCAAUCUUGAUCUCCUAGUUUUUUGGUGAAUUUUCUACUCUAAAAUACUUUUAUGUGUAUGAGUGCUUUGCCUUUAUGCAUGUCUGGGCACCACACGUGUACAUGAUGCCCAAAGAGACAGAAGAGAAGAUGGCGUUAGAUCCCCUGAGACUGGAGUUAGAGAAGUUGUGGCUGGCAUGUGGGUGCUUGGAAUUGAAGGGUCCUCUGGAAAAGCAGCCAGUGCUCCUAACUGCUGAGCCCUGUCUCCAACCCCUGGCAAGAUAUAUUUUUGAAGAACUUGUAUCCUUCCACGGAACACAUUCUGAGAAAUGCUACUUUAAACCGUUCUAAAUUGCAAACCAAACAAACACUAGAAAGAAAAGAAACCCUUUAAUGUCGAUAGAGCCGGUUGAUCUCUAACAUUUGUGAGAUUUUUCUCAUGAAACAGGGCUGAAGCAAAAAUAGGAAGAGUUAUGUCUUCUCAAUUUUAGGUCCAUUCGCAGCUAUUAACGUCAUGCACUGAAACAUCCUACACUUUUCCAGAUCUUUUUUUGUUUUGUUUUUCCUCUAGCAAACCUUUCUCCAUUUUAGCUCCCGAGUUCCCUCUCCUCCAUUUUAUUGUAAAGAUCAUCUGAGAUUUCACUAAAUGUUUGUUAAGCAAACAUUUUGAAGUGUGUCUCCAUAAACAAAAGGCAAAAUGUCUGUCAAAUUUUCUUCAAUGGAUUAAAAAAAAAUGAAGGGAAAAGCUAUUGGAAAGAAUAUACGUAUAUUAAUGUUGGACUAGAAUUUUCUCUUACUUUCAGGCCAGCUGACAUAUGUAUUUCUGUAACCUCUUGUGGGAUGAUGUCAUACAGGUGAGGCAGGGACAAGAUAGAACGAGGCCUGUUGGACGAGAACGAGAGAUGAGCAGGAGAAAAGUUUGAGGGAAGAGGAGGAGACUGGGACGGGGAAGGACAGGAAGACUGGGGGAGACUGCAGAGAAGCAGUCACCGAGAGAACACGGAGGCUGACAUUAGAUUCCACUCUGUAUUUACAGGUUGUUAUGAAUGUUCUUAAGGGAUGGAUGUGUCCAAGGCUUUGUAUGUCUAGGUGGGCAAUUAUAUCUUAUCAAUUGGAUCAGA